rnacentral:lncRNA from 1 species
CGUGGUAGUAGUGAGGAACGUGACAAUUCCGAGUUACCUUUGUAGACCAUAUCUUGUUAGCAGGAAGGAUAGGGUUUAUAGGUGCGGGUUGAACAUCCUCUGUGGUGUCUAGAUUCCGUUAACCUCCCCAAUAGAACAGUAGAUCAUCCUUACCAAGGUUAGAGGGAGAUUACGGUUGUAGUCUUCUCUAUUUAUCACUCACAUCGAGAAACAUUCUUUGUUGCCUAAAGGGUUAGUAGUAAUAGACCGGGUU